rnacentral:rRNA from 1 species
UGCAGUUGAAACUGUUCCCCUUGUGUUCAGUCGCGGUAUGCGGAAUUCGUGGUGUAGCGGUGAAAUGCAUAGAUAUCACGAAGAACCCCGAUUGCGAAAGCAGCAUGCCAGAGUGCAACAGACGUUGAAGCUCGAAAGUGUGGGUAUCAAACAGGAUUAGAUACCCUGGUAGUCCACACGGUAAACGAUGGAUACUCGCUGUUGGCGAUAUACGGCCAGCGGCUUAGCGAAAGCGUUAAGUAUCCCACCUGGGGAGUACGCCGGCAACGGUGAAACUCAAAGGAAUUGACGGGGGCCCGCACAAGCGGAGGAACAUGUGGUUUAAUUCGAUGAUACGCGAGGAACCUUACCCGGGCUUGAACUGCGGAUGCAUGGCGGGGAAACCUGCCAGUGAGCAAUCACAUCCGUGGAGGUGCUGCAUGGUUGUCGUCAGCUCGUGCCGUGAGGUGUCGGCUUAAGUGCCAUAACGAGCGCAACCCUUUUCCACUGUUGCCAUCAGCUAGGCUGGGGACUCGGUGGAUACUGCCAUCGUAAGAUGCGAGGAAGGAUGGGAUGACGUCAAAUCAGCACGGCCCUUACGUCCGGGGCCACACACGUGUUACAAUGGGGGGUACAGCAGGCCGCUACCCGGCGACGGGACGCCAAUCCUGAAAGCCCCUCUCAGUUCGGACUGGAGUCUGCAACCCGACUCCACGAAGCUGGAUUCGCUAGUAAUCGCGCAUCAGCCAUGGCGCGGUGANNNCGUUCCCGGGCCUUGUACACACCGCCCGUCAAGCCAUGAAAGCCGGGNNNNNCUGAAGUACGUAACCGCAAGGGUCGUCCUAGGGUAAGACCGGUGAUUGGGGAUAAGUCGUAACAAGGUAACCA